UCGAUUUGAUGGAACUCCUUCACCUAUUGCUUCACCAACACAGGGUAUGGAGGGGUUAGCACUCCCCCAACAUCUUUCCUCAGGGAUGAAAAUGAAAGAUGGUGGAACAGCCAAAUUGACAAAAACAACUCAACCUCGCAAGAGAAAAAGAGAUAAAACAAGAGCGAACCUGUGACAGGCACCCUGUGGAGCGAGCGCCGGGACUUGAGAGGCUUCAAAAAGAACAUCCAGUUUGCCUUAUUUCUACGUGAUCAGUCUAACAGGAGGAGGCCUUGAUUCCCCUGCUUUGAGGGGGAGGAUGAGCCUGAAAGUCUCGCUAAUGAGCCUGAAAUGGAUCUGAGGAGGUAAUUGCGUGUGAAAAGGGCAAUGUGCUGGAGAAGACUGACAGACGGUCAGUGCAGGCGUCUCCUCUUGGCUCGGUGGACUCGGUCCUGCAGCUGCCCUCCAGCCUCCUCAAACCUGCUUAUGGGGCAUCUGCCACCUGCUUGAACACACACAAAUGUCACCAUGUCUGGAAAAGCAAUAUAUUAUGUCUAUUUGUUGUCCUCAGAUUAAUUUGCUCUAUUAAAGACAUGGAUUGAGGAUAAAAUAAAAUAAAAAGUCAGUUCGGGAGUAAUAUUUGAGCCACAAAUUAUAAACGUCCUCUACACAUCUCCCUUAACCAUUAGGUACAAGCCCCCUUGGAUGUGUUGUGUUGCUGUGCACAGUGGGAACAAACAGAGCCUGGAACAAACUGUCCAGUCGUGAGCGCCAUCGGAUUACUACCUAGAAUACUACCUUCAUUAAAUUGGACUCAGGAGAUGGUAGCAUUAAAAGUUCUCUUGCAAGACUAACAUUUGCAUGAAAACACGUCUCCUCCAUAAAUAACAAACUAAGUAUGAAUCAUUAGAAUGUUUUACGUUUUGUUUUACAUCUUAUUUAUGUUGAUUUGUAGCCUGACGUUGUCAGACUCACAAUUCGAGUCAGAACUGCCCGACCAAAAACGUUGUGGGUGGG